rnacentral:rRNA from 1 species
AUUGAACGCUGGCGGCAGGCCUAACACAUGCAAGUCGAGCGGAUGAAGGGAGCUUGCUCCUGGAUUCAGCGGCGGACGGGUGAGUAAUGCCUAGGAAUCUGCCUGGUAGUGGGGGAUAACGUCCGGAAACGGGCGCUAAUACCGCAUACGUCCUGAGGGAGAAAGUGGGGGAUCUUCGGACCUCACGCUAUCAGAUGAGCCUAGGUCGGAUUAGCUAGUUGGUGGGGUAAAGGCCUACCAAGGCGACGAUCCGUAACUGGUCUGAGAGGAUGAUCAGUCACACUGGACCUGAAUAACGGUCCAGACUCCAACGGGAGGCCACAGUGGGGAAUAUUGGACGAUGGGCAAAAGCCUGCUCCAGCAAAGCCGCGUGUGUGAGAAAGAUCUUCGGAUUGUAAAGCACUUUAAGUUGGGAGGAAGGGGAGUAAGUUAAUACCUUGCUGUUUUGACGUUACCAACAGAAUAAGCACCGGCUAACUUCGUG